rnacentral:rRNA from 1 species
UUCCUACGGGGCGCAGCAGUGGGGAAUAUUGGGCAAUGGGCGCAAGCCUGACCCAGCAACGCCGCGUGAAGGAAGAAGGCUUUCGGGUUGUAAACUUCUUUUGCCAGGGACGAAGCAAGUGACGGUACCUGACGAAUAAGCCACGGCUAACUACGUGCCAGCAGCCGCGGUAAUACGUAGGUGGCAAGCGUUAUCCGGAUUUAUUGGGUGUAAAGGGCGUGUAGGCGGGAAUGCAAGUCAGAUGUGAAAACUAUGGG